rnacentral:tRNA from 1 species
CAGACUUUAAGUUAACYAAACUAUUARCCUUCAAAGUUAAACAUGCAAUAAGUAUUUGUAAGUCUUA